CGCAUACGCCCUGAGGGGGAAAGUGGGGGAUCGCAAGACCUCACGUUAUUCGAGCGGCCGAUGCYUGAUUAGCUAGUUGGUGGGKUAAAGGCCCACCAAGGCGACGAUCAGUAGCUGGUCUGAGAGGAUGAUYAGCCACACUGGAACUGAGACACGGUCCAUACUCCUACGGGAGGCAGCAGUGGGGAGUUUUGGACAAUGGGCGCAAGCCUGAUCCAGCCAUUCCGCGUGAGUGAAGAAGGCCUUCGGGUUGUAAAGCUCUUUCGGCGGGGAAGAAAUCGCAAGGGGUAAUAUCCCUUGUGGAUGACGGUACCUGAAGAAGAAGCACCGGCUAACUACGUGCCAGCAGCCGCGGUAAUACGUACGGUGCGAGCGUUAAUCGGAAUUACUGGGCCGUAAA
rnacentral:rRNA from 1 species